rnacentral:rRNA from 1 species
GACGAACCGAGCGAACGUUAUUCGGAAUCACUGGGCUUAAAGGGCGCGUAGGCGGGCGAUCAAGUCGGGGGUGAAAGCCCCCAGCUCAACUGGGGAAGUGCCUCUGAUACUGGUCGCCUCGAGGGAGGUAGGGGCGUGCGGAACUUCCGGUGGAGCGGUGAAAUGCGUAGAUAUCGGGAGGAACACCAAUGGCGAAGGCAGCUCGCUGGGACGGUACUGACGCUGAGGCGCGAAAGCGUGGGGAGCAAACAGG